AUGAACGCUGGCGGCGUGCCUCAUACAUGCAAGUCGAGCGAACAGAUAAGGAGCUUGCUCCUUUGACGUUAGCGGCGGACGGGUGAGUAACACGUGGGUAACCUACCUAUAAGACUGGGAUAACUUCGGGAAACCGGAGCUAAUACCGGAUAACAUUUGGAACCGCAUGGUUCUAAAGUGAAAGAUGGUUUUGCUAUCACUUAUAGAUGGACCCGCGCCGUAUUAGCUAGUUGGUAAGGUAACGGCUUACCAAGGCAACGAUACGUAGCCGACCUGAGAGGGUGAUCGGCCACACUGGAACUGAGACACGGUCCAGACUCCUACGGGAGGCAGCAGUAGGGAAUCUUCCGCAAUGGGCGAAAGCCUGACGGAGCAACGCCGCGUGAGUGAUGAAGGGUUUCGGCUCGUAAAACUCUGUUAUUAGGGAAGAACAAACGUGUAAGUAACUGUGCGCGUCUUGACGGUACCUAAUCAGAAAGCCACGGCUAACUACGUG
rnacentral:rRNA from 1 species